rnacentral:misc_RNA from 1 species
UCAAACUUGGUCAUUUAGAGGAAGUAAAAGUCGUAACAAGGUUUCCGUAGGUGAACCUGCGGAAGGAUCAUUAAAAAGAUCGAUUCAACAUAUGGACGAUCAAAUCCAUAUCCACCUUGUGUGCACUCAUUGACCGUUUGCUUUGGCAGGAAGGAGCCUUCGAUCCGGAGGCGCCGAGGCGUCAUUUGUUUGUGACAGCCUCGGGCCUGCCAGAGUUUUUUUUCCUGAAUUCACGCUUAUUUCUUACUUGGACUGAACCUUUGUUCUGAUUCUCUUGUGGGAUCAGUCAAACUAAAUAAACAAAAUACAACUUUCAACAACGGAUCUCUUGGCUCUCGCAUCGAUGAAGAACGCAGC